rnacentral:rRNA from 1 species
AUUGAACGCUGGCGGCAUGCUUUACACAUGCAAGUCGGACGAGUGGCGGACGGGUGAGUAAUAUAUUGGAACGUACCUAGUAAAGGGGGAUAACCAAUCGAAAGAUUGGCUAAUACCGCAUAUUAUUCGAGCGGCCCAUAUCGGAUUAGCUAGUUGGUGGGGUAACGGCCUACCAAGGCGACGAUCAGUAGCGGGUCUGAGAGGAUGAUCAGCCACACGGGGACUGAGACACGGCCCAGACUCCUACGGUAGGCAGCAGUGGGGAAUUUUGGACAAUGGGCGCAAGCCUGAUCCAGCCAUGCCGCGUGUCUGAAGAAGGCCUUCGGGUUGUAAAGGACUUUUGUGAGGGAAGCGUUACCUAAAGAAGAAGCACCGGCUAACUACGUGCCAGCAGCCGCGGUAAUUC